UUCUCACAAUUGACUAAUUUAAAAUUCUUUUAAAACACAAUAUUACCUCCCUCCCUUAUCCCCUUCCUCUGACCGGCAACCCCUUCUUUCUCAUAGUUCCGGUCUCUUUUCCCUUACCUCUCUUUAUUUUUCCCUCUCUUACCUAGAGUCGUGUAGCUGUGUAGGGGUAAUCCUCGGAGGAGCAAAUCUGGAUUUUGAUGGCUGACGGAGAAACGAGAGGUUGCUGAUCGAGAUAUACUGAUGGCUCACGAAGAAAUGAGAGGCUGCUGAUCGAGAUAUACUAAUGGCUGACGGAGAGACCGAAUCAGAUUUGCAGCGGUAACUUCUAUUCCAUCAACACCAGUUAUUCCAGCAACAGGAGAGAUCCCGGGAAAGCGAAAGCCAAGAAGACUGUCUUCAAUAGCUGCGGAUUCUGAUUCACUUCCUCAUAAGCACGUUAGGUUGUGCCGAGUCAAAUUUGCUCUGCUUUUUUUCCGUUGCAGAAAAGAGAUCCCUUACCCCCACUUUCUUAUCAAUCUAAUGCUUUCUCUCUCUGAUUGUUAAAUGGAAGCAAUUUGACUUUGUCACCAAGCAUUUGAACUCAGGAGUCAGCGAACAAAAAAGCCCCUGUCUCAGCGAUUUCGCAACUAUAUACUGGGAGCUUCGGCAACUGGUUUCAUGGCAUGUGGAGAUAGCUGCCACUGACAUUCCUCAGACGAACGAGAGGGUUUUCUACUUCUCUCAAGGUCACAUGGAGUAAUUGAAUGCAUCAACAAACGGGAGGCUGCAGGUACUAUGGAUCCUCUGACUCCCAAUCGGGUUGCCUUCGCAGGUCUCACCGGUGUUUCCUGUAGGUCGUGAUGUGAUUCGAGAUGGCCGUCUCCUGUCCCCUUGCGAGUGGGGAAUCAGCUCUCGGGUCAUCGCUUCGCUCUGUUGUAUCUGGCCUGUCCUCUAGGCACGACUGACUGAAACGUGCGUGCAGAAGGCCGAGCUGCCUCGUAACAGUCGGCAUCGUAAUGAAACCAGUCAGUCUUCUGCACGCGUCAGUCCUCCGUCCUCCAUCCGCUGUGACAGGGAAGAGUUUCCUCGUAACGAAACCAGUCGGCCUUCUGUAUGCACAUUUCAGUCAAUCCUUCGUCCUCCGUCUGCUGUGACCGGGAAGAGCUGCCUCGUAACGAAACCAGCCGGCAUCUUAACGAAACCAGUCGGCCUUCUGCACGAACAUUUCAGUCAGUCCUCCAUUCUCCGUCCGCUGUGACCAGGAAGAACUACCUCAUAACGAAACCAGUCAGCACCGUCAUUCUCUGAUUCACACUUGUCGUCGUGGUCCUCAUUAGCAGCAGCCACUUUUUUCAGAAUAUCAAAGCUGAAGGCGAAGAGAGCAUCGUCGUCCUCCAUCCGGUUGACGAUUGAGUUUAAGGGUGAAAUGAUCAUUUUACAUUUUUACGUCCAUGUUUAGCGGCGCGAUAAUGUCUAAUCAAUUGUGAGAAAUAAUUGGCCACUACCUUCGAUCGGAGUUUUCCACGGUCUUUGACACCUGACCUCAUUCUAGCCAUGAAAGAGAUUGAUGACUAGAUCCUCAGCUCUUUAGUGGGACAUUAGUCGGAGUUGCAGACUUCAAAGGUGGUGUUGGAGUUGCAGAUCGACUUUGCAAUUCCCUCUGGGUUGCUCUGUGUCUGGCCUGGCCUAGUAUUAAUUCAGGCAUCAAUUGUUCUUUCUACAGAAAACUCCACUCAAAGUGUUGACUAAUAACUUGGGAAGAUCUUUCUCUUUAACUGUCUGAACUCAUUUCUAACUCUCUUUUUUUUAAUCAUUUUCUCUCACUCUCUCUGCAUCAUAUUACAUUCGUCUUAUCUUAAUAGUUCUUACAUGGUUUGAGACAUUGUUGAGUGAAACAUGUAUGGUUUUAGGUGUGCCUCUCCAUAAAUCCAGGCUGAGAUUUUUUUCUUCUUA